rnacentral:rRNA from 1 species
AUUGAACGCUGGCGGCAGGCCUAACACAUGCAAGUCGAGCGGUAGAGAGGUGCUUGCAUCUCUUGAGAGCGGCGGACGGGUGAGUAAUGCCUAGGAAUCUGCCUAGUGGUGGGGGAUAACGUUCGGAAACGGACGCUAAUACCGCAUACGUCCUACGGGAGAAAGCGGGGGGAUCUUCGGACCUCGCGCCAUUAGAUGAGCCUAGGUCGGAUUAGCUAGUUGGUGAGGUAAUGGCUCACCAAGGCGACGAUCCGUAACUGGUCUGAGAGGAUGAUCAGUCACACUGGAACUGAGACACGGUCCAGACUCCUACGGGAGGCAGCAGUGGGGAAUAUUGGACAAUGGGCGAAAGCCUGAUCCAGCCAUGCCGCGUGUGUGAAGAAGGUCUUCGGAUUGUAAAGCACUUUAAGUUGGGAGGAAGGGUAGUAACCUAAUACGUUGCUACUUUGACGUUACCGACAGAAUAAGCACCGGCUAACUUCGUGCCAGCA